UGGUCUAUGAUGUGCUUCAUAGAUUUUUUAAUCUCAUUUUGAGAAUAUGCCCUAGAAACUGCCACAUAUAUUCUAAACAAAUUACAAUCAAAAUCUAUCUCUAGCACACUAUAUGAGAUAUGAAAAGGAAAGAGACCAAACCUUAAACAUAUGAAGAUAUGAGAUUGCCCUGCUUAUAUGAAAAUAGUUGAUGGAUAUAAGCCAAGUGC
rnacentral:lncRNA from 1 species